GAGGGUUCGAAUCCCUCUCUUUC
rnacentral:tRNA from 1 species